AUAUGGAGUAUUUCUAAAUUUUUAGAUUUUUCAAAAAGCUAGAGGGGCAGGUUCCCCCUCCUUUCCCUAAUUUUGCCACUGGGUGUGGGAUAGGUUUCUGAUGCGGAUCAUAUUAUGCGGUUCAUAUCUGGCCUCUGUAUGGCCAUUCCCUUUUUCAAGAGGGGAGCAUCAAGCAACAAGUUUCUUAACUAUCUGAACAAGCAAUUUUUUCCUGUUUUUGACAAGCUUUGAGAAGAGCGAAAGUUGGACUUGCUGAAGGAUGUAGCAGAUUGUUCCCCCUAUGCAAACCCACAAGAUUCUCGUCAGCUUCUUUCACCCAUUGUUCAGCUUCUAAAGAAAUACAUGGUUCAGAGAAAGACUGAAGAAAUAAACUUUACAUAUAUUGAGUGCUUGUUGUAUGCAUUUCACCAUCUGGCU